rnacentral:rRNA from 1 species
GACGGAGGAUGCAAGUGUUAUCCGGAAUCACUGGGCGUAAAGCGUCUGUAGGUGGUCAAAUAAGUCAACUGUUAAAUCUUGAGGCUUAACCUCAAAAUCGCAGUCGAAACUAUUAGACUAGAGUAUAGUAGGGGUAAAGGGAAUUUCCAGUGGAGCGGUGAAAUGCGUAGAUAUCGGAAGGAACACCAGUGGCGAAAGCGGCUUCCUGGUCCAGCAUCGACGUUCAGGCACGAAAGCGUGGGGAGCAAACAGG